UACGUAGGGGGCUAGCGUUGUCCGGAAUCAUUGGGCGUAAAGCGCGUGUAGGCGGUCCGGUAAGUCCGCUGUGAAAGUCGGGGGCUCAACCCUCGAAUGCCGGUGGAUACUGUCGGGCUAGAGUGCGGAAGAGGCGAGUGGAAUUCCUGGUGUAGCGGUGAAAUGCGCAGAUAUCAGGAGGAACACCAAUUGCGAAGGCAGCUCGCUGGACGUUACUGACGCUGAGACGCGAAAGCGUGGGAGCAAACAGG
rnacentral:rRNA from 1 species